CUACUACUCCCUCCGUUCGGAAUUACUUGUCGUGAAAAUGGAUGUAUCUAGACGUAUUUUAGUUCUAGAUACAUCCAUUUCCGAGACAAGUAAUUCCGAACGGAGGGAGUAGAAG
rnacentral:pre_miRNA from 1 species